rnacentral:rRNA from 1 species
UACGUAGGGAGCAAGCGUUGUCCGGAAUCACUGGGCGUAAAGGGCGCGCAGGCGGUCUUGAAAGUCAGGCGUGAAAGCCCCGGGCUUAACCUGGGAAUUGCGCUUGAUACUCUGAGACUGGAGUACGGGAGAGGAGAGUGGAAUUCCCAGUGUAGAGGUGAAAUUCGUAGAUAUUGGGAAGAACACCAGUGGCGAAGGCGGCUCUCUGGACCGUAACUGACGCUGAGGCGCGAAAGCGUGGGGAGCAAACAGG